AGUCGCAGCCCUGCCGAAGCCCUGAGGCGUCGAGGCCGCCCGAGGGGAGCGCGCGUGCGCGCGCGGGGCUGACUGCGGGAGCCCUGGCUGGGAAGCGGCUAGGGCACCCGGGCAAGCAGCAGAACCCGCGGCCGGCUGAGUCCUCUCCAGCCGCGAGAGGCGGGCUCCAGCCGCGGCUCGCGCGCUCGCUCUGAGCCCCCGCGCCCAGGUGGGAUGGAAGAAGCCUGUCAGGUUGUCUGUGUUUUCCCCUGUGAAAGCAUUCAGGAUCUUAAUUUUAUGCUGUGGAUUCUGAACUUAAUAAUUUGGCCUGUGAGUCGAUCUUUUUAGAUGAAGUCUCUCUCUGUUGCCCAGGCUGGAGUGUAGUGGCAUGAUCUCGGCUCACUGCAACCUCCGCCUCCCAGGUUUAAGCGAUUCUUCUGCCUCAGCCUCCUGAGUAGCUGGGAUUACAGGCACGCGCCACCACGCCCAGCUAAUUUUCGUAUUUGUAGUAGAGACAUGGUUUCACCAUAUUGGACAGGCUGGUCUCGAACUCCUGACCUCGUGAUCCACCCAAAGUGCUGGGAUUACAGGCGUGAGCCACCUCGCCCGGCCUACACAAAUUUCUUUUUUUUUUGAGAUGGAGUCUCGCUCGGUCGCCCAGGCUGGAGUGCAGUGGCACCAUCUCAGCUCACUGCAACCUCCGCCUCCCCAGGUUCAAGCAAUUCUCCUGCCUCAGCCUACCGAGUAGCUGGGACUACAGGCGCAUGCCACCAUGACCAGCUUUUUUGUAUUUUUAGUAGAGGUGGGGUUUCACCAUGUUAGCCAGGAUGGUGUCAAUGUCCUGACCUCAUGAUCUGUCCGCCUCGGCCUCCCAAAGUGCUGGGAUUACAGGCGUGAGCCACCACUCCCAGCCCAUCUCACAUACUUUCAUAAUCCAAAUCCUACUCAUUCUUCAAGGUUUAUAUCAAAUGCCAUCCUUUCUAUGAAAUAACCACUGAUUUCCUUGCUUACAUAAAUGUAAUAAACUUUCUUCUCUGAACUUCCAUAUUUAUUUUUUCUGUACCUAUCUUAAGACAUUUACCACUUUAAAAUUUAAAUAAAUAUAUAAAAGUAUA